rnacentral:ncRNA from 1 species
AAAAGGAUGGGUUAGCGUAAGCGAAGCUCAGAAUUGAAGCCCCAGUAAACGGCGGCCGUAACUAUAACGGUCCUAAGGUAGCGAAAUUCCUUGUCGGGUAAGUUCCGACCCGCACGAAAGGCGUAACGAUCUGGGCACUGUCUCAACGAGAGACUCGGUGAAAUUGAAAUCCCUGUGAAGAUGCAGGGUACCCGCGACAGGACGGAAAGACCCCAUGGAGCUUUACUGUAGCUUGAUAUUGAGUGUUUGUACUGCUUGUACAGGAUAGGUAGGAGCCAUAGAAAGCGGAACGCUAGUUUCGCUGGAGGCGCUGGUGGGAUACUACCCUUGCAUUAUGACCACUCUAACCCGCAGCACUGAACGUGCUGGGAGACAGUGUCAGGUGGGCAGUUUGACUGGGGCGGUCGCCUCCCAAAAGGUAACGGAGGCGCCCAAAGGUUCGCUCAGAAUGGUUGGAAAUCAUUCGCAGAGUGUAAAGGCACAAGCGAGCUUGACUGCGAGACAGACAGGUCGAGCAGGGACGAAAGUCGGGCUUAGUGAUCCGGUGGUUCCGUAUGGAAGGGCCAUCGCUCAACGGAU